GACGAACGCUGGCGGCGUGCUUAACACAUGCAAGUCGAACGGAAAGGCCUCUUUCGGGGGGUACUCGAGUGGCGAACGGGUGAGUAACACGUGAGUAACCUGCCCUUGACUUUGGGAUAACUUCAGGAAACUGGGGCUAAUACCGGAUAGGAGCUCCUGCUGCAUGGUGGGGGUUGGAAAGUUUCGGCGGUUGGGGAUGGGCUCGCGGCUUAUCAGCUUGUUGGUGGGGUAGUGGGUUACCAAGGCUUUGACGGGUAGCCGGCCUGGGAGGGUGACCGGGCACAUUGGGACUGAGAUUAGGCCCAGACUCCUACGGGGGGCAGCAGGGGGGAAUAUUGCACAAUGGGUGGAAGCCUGAUGCAGCAACGCCGGGGGCGGGAUGACGGCCUUCGGGUUGUAAACCGCUUUCGCUCAUGACGAAGCUUUGUGUGACGGUAGUGGGUAAAGAAGCACCGGCUAACUACGUG
rnacentral:rRNA from 1 species